UCCUACGGGAGGCAGCAGUGGGGAAUUUUGCGCAAUGGGCUAACGCCUGACGCAGCAACGCCGCGUGGAGGAUGAAGGUCUUUGGAUUGUAAACUCCUGUCAGCAGGGAAAAAGGGAGUGGGCCUAAUACGUCCGCAACUUGAUUGUACCUGCAGAGGAAGCCCCGGCUAACUCUGUGCCAGCAGCCGCGGUAAU
rnacentral:rRNA from 1 species